ACAAACCUUGAGAUUGGAAAUCCAGCUCCUAACUCAAUACUCUUUUUGCACAGACUCAGUAGCCCUUUCUUCUCAUUGGAUGACUGAGUUAUCACAUGACUCUUCCUGUUCAUGAAUAUUCCAACAGAGGACCAGGUUCAUAUAAACCAGUGUGGCCUGUCAGACAACAGAUAUGAUUCCUCAGAUUACCAAAACCAAUGCUUUGAUUCCAGGGAUGAUACUUUUCCUGUCAAAGUUAUGAUAUAUGCCAUCUGUCACGUUAUCUUCAUAAACAUUAUUAGUCUAGGCUUACUACCAGUAGAAUCUAUCAGACUUUGCAUUACUUAAGAAAUUAUUUUAUUACCAGAUGUGACCAGCUUCUAAACUCCACAUGUUUGCUGUAUAAUUUUUAGCAGCUUCCAGAGAACCUUCUUCUGUGCCAUCAAACUUGGGAAGAAAUCCAUGAAGCCUCUGCCAUUUUAUUAUUAGUUUAAAAUUCUUAUCUUCAGAGUAUUAUAGGCUGAAAGGUUUAAGCUAUAGCUUUUUAACCAAUUUGCCAUACAAUAUUUUAAAAACUGUUAAAAUGUUUUUUAUGUCACUUUAUUCAUUGUAGCAUUCAACACUGGAAGGUUUAGCAGAAGGAAAGCUUCCUCACCUUCAGAAUACUUUAUAGCCUAUGUUUAAGCCACUGAUUGAUCAAUCAAUCUGAAUGUCCAUUUUUUAAACUGCCAUUUGUCCAUUCUUAUGCAAAUAUAUGUGAUUAUGGUGGAAAUUUUGCUUUGAAUUGCUGGACUUUUCGU